UUGAUCAUGGCUCAGAACGAACGCUGGCGGCGUGCCUAAUACAUGCAAGUCGAACGUGAAAGUCCUUCGGGAUGAGUAAAGUGGCGCACGGGUGAGUAACACGUGGGUAAUCUGCCUUCUAGUGGGGAACAACUCAGGGAAACUUGAGCUAAUACCGCAUAAGAAAGAAAUUUGAAAGGUGGCCUCUAUUUAUAAGCUAUCGCUGGAAGAAGAGCCUGCGCUGUAUUAGCUAGUUGGUGGGGUAAUGGCCUACCAAGGCAACGAUACAUAUCCGGUCUGAGAGGAUGAUCGGACACACUGGAACUGAGACACGGUCCAGACUCCUACGGGAGGCAGCAGUAGGGAAUAUUGCGCAAUGGGGGAAACCCUGACGCAGCAACGCCGCGUGAGUGAGGAAGGUCUUCGGAUUGUAAAACUCUUUUAUUAGGGAAAAAUGUCUAGGUGGCUAAUAUCCACUUAGAGUGAUGGUACCUAAGGAAUAAGCACCGGCUAACUUCGUGCCAGCAGCCGCGGUAAUACGAAGGGUGCAAGCGUUGUUCGGAAUCAUUGGGCGUAAAGCGCGCGCAGGCGGGUCAGUAAGUCAGGUGUGA
rnacentral:rRNA from 1 species